UUUAUCUGAAAACCUUUGAUACAUUUGAGAACGUCAUCUUGGGCUUUUUGGGAAAGACUGAUCCACAUCUUUCACCA